rnacentral:rRNA from 1 species
AUUGAACGCUGGCGGCAUGCUUUACACAUGCAAGUCGAACGGUAACAGGUUAAGCUGACGAGUGGCGAACGGGUGAGUAAUGCAUCGGAACGUGCCCGAUCGUGGGGGAUAACGUAGCGAAAGCUGCGCUAAUACCGCAUACGAUCUGAGGAUGAAAGCGGGGGACCGUAAGGCCUCGCGCGAUCGGAGCGGCCGAUGUCAGAUUAGGUAGUUGGUGGGGUAAAGGCCCACCAAGCCGACGAUCUGUAGCUGGUCUGAGAGGACGACCAGUCACACUGGGACUGAGACACGGCCCAGACUCCUACAGGAGGCAGCAGUGGGGAAUUUUGGACAAUGGGCGAAAGCCUGAUCCAGCAAUGCCGCGUGCAGGAAGAAGGCCUUCGGGUUGUAAACUGCUUUUGUACGGAGCGAAAAGGUCCUUUCUAAUACAAGGGGCUCAUGACGGUACCGUAAGAAUAAGCACCGGCUAACUACGUGCCAGCAGCCGCGGUAACAC